UUGGGGUUGGGACAUCGGUAAGAACUAGAUAAGUGCAUAAGAAAAGAAAAAAAAUUGUUGUGAAGAAAAAGAGAACGAAAAAAAUUGAGAAGUAAUAUAAAGUACUUAUCUAGAGGAGAUUUAGUUUGGCAAAAAUCUUGCUCAAAGAAGCGCAUGAAGAAAAAAGAAAAAAAGCUAAUGAAUCCUAAGAAGAACGAUGUCCAAAAAUCUCUAAGUUGAACAAUUGAACACAGUGAUGAGAAUGACAGCACGAACUCUGCGCCUAAACCACUAGUUUCCCCUUUUUGUUUG
rnacentral:lncRNA from 1 species